GGAGUAUCUUUCUGGAGAUCCCUGCCUCCUGGAGCUACCCCCCUGAAGAGGAGGCACAGCUACAAAGGACUCGUUAACCCCCACCAUCACCACAGCGGGCAGCAGCCGCAAGUCACUGAUCUCUGAAAGCUGCUGGAUUUCCUGCGCGCAAAGAUCUCUGCCUACCUGCUAUGGGGCAAACCCCUGUUCUCCAUCAGCCCUGGGCAGAAGACACAACGAGGACAUGGAUCUGGCAGGAAAAAUGCUGGAAGAUGGAACCUCUACUUGUCCCCACCGCAGAUGUAAAGCUGGGGAUCCCACUCCUGCUUGUGUUCAUUUCGGAGACAAGCAGGAAAGUGCAUCAUCUGGUGGCUCUGGCACAGCCAGAGCAGCACACCACAGCUGGAUAGCUGAUCUGUGCCUCUCGCCUCGCUGAGAGGCCUACCACAUGCUACGAAAUGCUUUAAUGUCCCUUUAACAUUCCGUAUAAAUAAUUUCCG
rnacentral:lncRNA from 1 species